AUUGAGCGCUGGCGGCAGGCCUAACACAUGCAAGUCGAACGGUAACAGAAAGCAGCUUGCUGCUUUGCUGACGAGUGGCGGACGGGUGAGUAAUGUCUGGGAAACUGCCUGAUGGAGGGGGAUAACUACUGGAAACGGUAGCUAAUACCGCAUAACGUCGCAAGACCAAAGAGGGGGACCUUCGGGCCUCUUGCCAUCGGAUGUGCCCAGAUGGGAUUAGCUAGUAGGUGGGGUAAAGGCUCACCUAGGCGACGAUCCCUAGCUGGUCUGAGAGGAUGACCAGCCACACUGGAACUGAGACACGGUCCAGACUCCUACGGGAGGCAGCAGUGGGGAAUAUUGCACAAUGGGCGCAAGCCUGAUGCAGCCAUGCCGCGUGUAUGAAGAAGGCCUUCGGGUUGUAAAGUACUUUCAGCGGGGAGGAAGGGAGUAAAGUUAAUACCUUUGCUCAUUGACGUUACCCGCAGAAGAAGCACCGGCUAACUCCGUG
rnacentral:rRNA from 1 species